AAAUUAUUGCUAUUACAAAAGUAGUAUCCUUUAAAAUGUAUUUAUUGAGUUGGGGAUAACUCUGAUCUUAGGCUUUUUAUUCACAUCCAUUUACUGUAGAGCACUCCAUGCCCUCUGUAGACUUAAACUCUGUGGACUAUAAAUACAGAGCUGUUUAACAAUUUUCUCAAGAGCAACACCACAACAGACCCAUUCAUUGAAAUAUUUCCUCAUCUAGCUCACUAAGGAAGAGCAUAGCAGACACUGCUCAAUUUCCACAACAACCCCAUAAAGGGAUUUGUAUAGAAACUGGAACUUUGGGAAAAAGGGUGAAUUGUAACUUAUCAAAGGUCAGGGAACUGCUAUACGACCAAGGAACAAAAGCAGCAUAAAACCGGAGUCACUAUUCCACUUAAAAUCAAACUGAAGUUUUUUUUUUUUUCUCCAUUUCUGUUUUUCUUUUGUAUAGCUAACCAGCCUAGAACUUAAAAGCUUCUAAGUAGCAAUAUAUUUAUUUCCACAUAUGAGUUUGUAUAUGUGUGUGUGUGUGUGGUGGGGUAUUGAUCAGAUGAAAUUGCUUUGAGCUUCUGGUUCCUUCAAUACUGGUCAGUGCUAAAUUUGCCAGGCUUCUUCAUUAGACUGGGAUACCUAAAGUGGCUGUUUCAAUAUGGCCAGUAGUUAGUGGCUGGCUUUUAUUGACUGUAUUCAUUAGUGGCAUGGCUAACCCAAGCCAUUUAGACAUCCUGUAGAUAGCAUCCUGCUUGAAUCAAAACCUUCUUAUAGAUAUCAAGUGGAAAAAAUCUUAGCAUAAAACAGCAGGAAGCAGGAGACAGGCACAGUUGUGUCUUCACCAAUGGGCAGAGGCACAGGUGUGUAGUCACCCACUGGAGAGAGGCACAGCUGUGUAUUCAACUGCUGGAGAGAGGCAUAGCUGUAUAUUAUGUUGAUAAGGAGAAAGGUUGUUGGCCCAGCCUAAAUUCAAGAGAAAGGGAAAUAUAGCAUUAUAUUUUGGGACAAGUUGUCAAAUUACUAUAGCCAUUUAAACUUACUGUUUCACUAAUGUUGACAAUGUUGAUUUCAAGGAAAAAUUGACUUGAUGUUUAUAUAUUUCCUUCUAGAUCUCUUCACUAUCAUUCUGGAUUUUCAUAAACUUUAAAUUUCACAAACAUUAAAGAUAUGUAACACUGUAAUGAAUAAUAUUUUUACAUUUUAUAUUUAAUGAUAUCCUGAGGUAUUAGAUAAAUAUAUAUGAAAACAUAAUUUUAUUAUCAUGAUCUCUUAUACUAGGAUAUUAUUGAUAUAAAACCUUUUCUUCCCGUAGGUUUCUUCCUUAUAUUUUUUGAAUCCUUUAGCAGUUGAAAUUUCAUUCAAGUUUCACUUAAUGCCCAGGAAAAGGAUAUCUGAUUCACUUUGUUAAUGAGGAGGAAAAUAUUGACCAUACUUUCCUAUUGACCACAAGCUUGUUUAAUUGUACAUUUUCAAAAUGUCAUCUGUAAUGGCUGGAAGUAUGCAUGAGUAAUUAUUCAGUAUAUGUGAAAAUAAUGAGAGUGGGACUUCACUCUAUAUAUUUACAACUUAUUCUUAUUUCAUGAUAGUGCUUUGAAAACAUGGAAAGCAUGAUAAUAUACAAGAGAAUCUUGUGCCAUAAUCAAGUAUGGAUUAUAUCAGGAAAUCAAC
rnacentral:lncRNA from 1 species